GCGCCCAUAGCUCAGCUGGAUAGAGCGCUGCCCUCCGGAGGCAGAGGUCAGAGGUUCGAAUCCUCUUGGGCGCGCCA
rnacentral:tRNA from 3 species